rnacentral:lncRNA from 1 species
UUAUCAAUUAGUCCAAAAAGUAUUUUUGUAAAAAAAUUUAUUUCAACUGGAAAUAAAUUUUAUUUAUUUUUAAAAAAAUAUUUCUUUGUUCAAAUAAUAUCUUUCAUAAUAGUUAAACGUAUUCAUAGUAGUUUUCUUUCACUCACAUUAUAUUUGGAAACCAAUGUAAGGGCUCAAUUUCGUCCGGCCCAAACAGAAACAAAAUAAAAACCAAAAAUAAAAAGUCCAAGUCCAUUUACAAAAAAUGGCCCAAAUACAAAAAAAAAACAUUAAGGCCCACAACCUAAAUUUUUUCAGAAAACUAAAAAAAAAACCCUAGGCCUUUUGCGCAACGCCCCACCAGGUCGGUGUGCUCACCGCCCG